rnacentral:rRNA from 2 species
AAACCGAGUGGCGGACGGGUGAGUAACACGUGGGUAACCCUUUCAUCAGCAGGGGAUAACAUUUAGGAAACAGAUGCUAAUACCGUAUAACCACGGAGACCGCAUGGUCUCCGGGUAAAAGAUGGCGAAAGCUAUCACUGAGGGAUGGACCCGCGGCGUAUUAGCCAGUUGGUGGGGUAAUGGCCUACCAAAGCGAUGAUACGUAGCCGACCUGAGAGGGUAAUCGGCCACAUUGGGACUGAGACACGGCCCAAACUCCUACGGGAGGCAGCAGUAGGGAAUCUUCCACAAUGGACGCAAGUCUGAUGGAGCAACGCCGCGUGAGUGAAGAAGGCUUUCGGGU